AGUGAACGCUGGCGGUAGGCCUAAUACAUGCAAGUCGAACGGCAGCACAGUAAGAUCUCUCUCUUACGGUUGGCGAGUGGCGGACGGGUGAGGAAUACAUCAGAAUCUACUUUUUCUGGGGUGAUAACGGAGGGACACUGACGCUAAUACCUCAUAUGACCUACCGCAUAAAGCAGUAGUUCUUGACACCUUUCCUGAUUCAAUUAGCCGGUGUCGGAUUAGCUAGUUGGCUUGGUAAAGUACCACCAAGGCAACGAUCCGUAGCUGGUCUGAGAGGAUGAUCGGCCACACUGGAACUGAGACACGGUCCAGACUCCUACGGGAGGCAGCAGUAGGGAAUAUUCGACAAUGGGCGCAAGCCUGAUGCAGCCACGCCGCGUGAGUGAAGAAGGCCUUCGGGUUGUAAAACCCUGUUAUUAGGAAAGAAAAGAAGCAGGUUAAUACCCGGAUGUUUUGACGGUACCUAAUGAGUAAGCAACGGCUAACUUCGUG
rnacentral:rRNA from 1 species